rnacentral:rRNA from 1 species
GACGAACGCUGGCGGCGUGCUUAACACAUGCAAGUCGAACGGAAAGGCCCUGCUUUUGUGGGUUGCUCGAUUGGCGAACGGGUGAGUAACACGUGAGUAACCUGCCCUUGACUUUGGGAUAACUUCAGGAAACUGGGGCUAAUACCGGAUAGGAGCUCCUGCUGCAUGGUGGUGGUUGGAAAGUUUCGGCGGUUGGGUCUGGACUCGCGGCUUAUCAGCUUGUUGGUGUGGUAGUUGCUUACCAAGGCUUUGACGGGUAGCCGGCCUGAGAGGGUGAACGGGCACAUUGGGACUGAGAUACGGACCAGAAUGCUACGGGAGGCAGCAGUGGGGAACAUUGCACAACGGGCGGAAGCCUGAUGCAGAAACGCCGCGUGCGGGAUGCCCGCCUUCGGGUUGUAAACCGCUUUCGCAUGUGACGAAGCGUGAGUGACGGUAAUGGGUAAAGAAGCCCCGGCUAACUACGUG